rnacentral:tRNA from 1 species
GACUCAGUAGCUCAGCUGGUAGAGCACAUCCCUUUUAAGGAUGGGGUCUUGGGUCCGAAUCCCAACUGGGUCA